rnacentral:rRNA from 1 species
UACGAAGGGAGCAAGCGUUGCUCGGAUUUAUUGGGCGUAAAGAGCUCGUAGGCGGCUUGUCGCGUCGAAUGUGAAAACCUGCAGCUCAACUGCAGGCUUGCAUUCGAUACGGGCAGGCUCGAGUUCGGUAGGGGAGACUGGAAUUCCUGGUGUAGCGGUGAAAUGCGCAGAUAUCAGGAGGAACACCGGUGGCGAAGGCGGGUCUCUGGGCCGGUACCGACGCUGAGGAGCGAAAGCGUGGGGAGCGAACAGG